rnacentral:rRNA from 1 species
GAUGAACGCUAGCUACAGGCUUAACACAUGCAAGUCGAGGGGCAGCGAGGCCGUAGCAAUACGGCUGUCGGCGACCGGCGCACGGGUGCGUAACGCGUAUGCAACCUACCCGUAACAGGGGGAUAACACUGAGAAAUUGGUACUAAUACCCCAUAAUAUCUCGGAAGGCAUCUUCUGGGGUUGAAAACUCUGGUGGUUACGGAUGGGCAUGCGUUGUAUUAGCUAGUUGGUAAGGUAACGGCUUACCAAGGCGACGAUACAUAGGGGGACUGAGAGGUUAACCCCCCACAUUGGUACUGAGACACGGUCCAA